rnacentral:rRNA from 1 species
CUACGGGCGGCAGCAGUGGGGAAUAUUGCACAAUGGGCGCAAGCCUGAUGCAGCCAUGCCGCGUGUAUGAAGAAGGCCUUCGGGUUGUAAAGUACUUUCAGCGGGGAGGAAGGGAGUAAAGUUAAUACCUUUGCUCAUUGACGUUACCCGCAGAAGAAGCACCGGCUAACUCCGUGCCAGCAGCCGCGGUAAUACGGAGGGUGCAAGCGUUAAUCGGAAUUACUGGGCGUAAAGCGCACGCAGGCGGUUUGUUAAGUCAGAUGUGAAAUCCCCGGGCUCAACCUGGGAACUGCAUCUGAGACUGGCAAGCUUGAGUCUCGUAGAGGGGGGUAGAAUUCCAGGUGUAGCGGUGAAAUGCGUAGAGAUCGGGAGGAAUACCGGUGGCGAAGGCGGCCCCCUGGACGAAGACUGACGCUCAGGUGCGAAAGCGUGGGGAGCAAACAGGAUUAGAUACCCCGGUAGUC